UUCCCCCUGUCUCUCUGUUCGGCCUCAUUUCCCCCUGUCUCUCUGUUCGGCCUCAUUUCCCCCUUGACUUAUCAUUCGGCUUCUCCUCUCAUGUACCGUUCGACCUUACUUCCCCCUGCCUUAUCGUUCGGUAUUAGGUUAAUUCUCUCCUCUUUUAUUCCUAACAAUAUUGUACUGUUUUUCUUUUGAAAAUAUUACUUAAAGAGCCUAUUUGUAAUUUUCUUGUAAGUUUUACUCCUGCUUAGGCCUGAGAAUCAUAGUUAAUUAGUCAUGUUUCCAAAAGUCGUACUUAUGAGUGACCCAUUGAUGUUUUCG
rnacentral:sRNA from 1 species